rnacentral:lncRNA from 1 species
UUUUAAAUUUAUGUAAAAUAUGUAAUGUUUUAUUGAGGAUGAAAUUUAUUUUCAAAAUCAGAUUUUGAAAAACUUUUUAGUUUAAUGUUUUCCAAGGCUAUGGUCAGAUGCAACUAUUUUGCAUCCUUCUACACUUUCUCAACAAUGACCCCAAAUGAUUUCUAAGUACAAGUAAGGAGCAAGUUUAAAACUACAAUAAGACUCAAAAUUAAAAAUAAUUUUAUUAAUAUAUCAUAUAUGUAUCUAGUAAUAUAAGAAUAUUUUUUUAUCUUAUUUUGGGAAAAGGACAACUACACUUUCAUAAUUUAUGGAAGUGGUCAUUGAGAACCUCAAUUUUUUCAUAAGGGACACCAAAACCCUCUUCCAUUAACUUUUACUGUUAGUUUGAAUGUAAAAUAUUAAAUUUACUAUUAUACCCUUAUGAUGCACUUACUUUUUUUCACAUGGAAUUCUAAAUUGAAUAAAGAAAUAUUUGACAAAUGUGGCUCAAUACAAUAACAUUGAUUUACAAUUUUGUCCUUGUAUAGAUUACAAAAUUAAAAAAAAAUGUCUUAUAGAAUCAUUGUCAAUGAAAUUUUAAAUGGCAUUUAUCCCCUUGCAAAUAAUUUUAAUCACACAAAUAUCGUUAAAUUAUAAUCAAUUUUUACAAAUUUGAUGCCAACUAUAAUAUUUUAAAAUAUAGUCCAUUUGUACUAGUUAUGUGAUUGUAAUUUCUCAUGAAAAAUCAAUUUUAAUUCAAUCAAGUUCCAUUGUUCAUUAAUCCAUCCAGUUUAUUUCAUGGAAAUAAAAUUCGUCAGGCUCACUCAUGCAAAAGUGAAUGGAGGCAUGAUAUUCAAGAACAAGUCAUGGUGUUCCAAUAGUUGAGUUGUGACAAGCAAAAUGACUUUGAUAUAUAUAUGCUAUCAGCUCAAUUCAAAUGCACCACAAAGUCUGAUUAAAAACUAUGUCUAUGAUCCAAAUGCGUCAUAUCUAAAUCUAUUAUAAAAUUAAUAUGAUUUCCUACUCUUUGCCACUUUGGCUGUUAUUGUCUUUCAGAUUGAAUUGCAUUUAGUUAAGUUGCUACCAACAAAUUACCAUACAAUAGGAAGAUAAUAAAGUAACUUAUUGCUGCUAAUACAAUAAAUAAUUUGAAAUUUCAAGUUAACAGCACGCAAAGUAGAGAAUGUAGCUUUGAUGAACUUUUGUAGGAGUCUUACAAGACUUUUUGUUGUACCCUAUAUCGUUGUAGUUAGCGCACUUGAUAGUUUGCUUAUCUUUCUUUUCCUAAGCAGUUCAUUUGGUUCCUUCUUUGUUGCAUGUUUUUUAGGCUUGCUAACUUGCACUAGCAUUUUAGGUGGCUCAAUUUCAGGUCCUUGAACACUAGGCCAUAUUGCUUGAUCUGGCAAAAGCUUUAUUUACUCUGACUAAGUAAUAAUAUAAGCUUGAACUGUUAGAUGUGGAUCUACAUAAUUAGCAACACGUUCACGCCUUAUUGUAAUACAUGGCAUUGCAUGCUUACAAGGAUGCCACUAAUUUGAUAUGCCUUAUAACCACAUGUUCUUUUAUCUAGAUCAACUAUAAAAUAUUCAUGUGUGACGUUGCACUAGUAGAAAAAUGGCCUUCUUUGAUGUUAUUUUGGUAUCAGUAACGGUUUUUACUGACACCGAGUUUAGUGUCACUGAUCACAGUGCAAGAAAUUUACUGACACAUUUUUUGUAUCGGCGAUUCUGUGACAGCUUAGUAUCAGAGAAAUGCUAAUAAUUAAAACAUCACAUAGGUUUUGAUGUUACGGUGUUAGACAAUUUGUGAUCCCAUAAUAUCAAAAUAAUUGUGAUUUUAUACAGUCAUGCAAAUAAUGAUUAUAUGGUAAUAAAGCAUGUUUUGGUGCGCUAGUAUCAUAUAUGUUGUGAUUGAAGAAUAUUAAUAUUUAUAGAUACUAAAUUGAUGUCAAUAGAUUUUUGAAGAUUUAAAAAAAAAUCAUUAUUACAAUUACCAGUAGUUUAAAAUUAAAACCUAGUAAACAACAAUUUUCAACAAUGAUUAUAGAACAAAUGUUGGAAGCAAAAUCCAAUAAUCUGCAUUUAAUAAAUACCAUCAAGCUGCAUUCAAUAUUUAACACCCAACAUUCAAUAACCAAAUUUUGUUCAACAACCAAAUUCAUCAACUACAGGUUCAAUAGCACAAUAUUGCCAAAAACCACAACUAAUUUCCAAAGUUUAUCAUAACAACAACUUGAGUAUGAAUCCAGAAAAGAACCAAUGUAACACAAGAACUAAGAGAGCAGAAAAGAAAAGAAGCAAACACAGACAACACAAGAAUCAAUUAUGUGGUUCAGUUGCACCAAGUGGCACAACCUACAUCCACGGGAGAAGCUUUCUUCAGAGCUUUUAUUACUCAACAAUGAAGGAUCCCAAUUUACAGAGAUUGUUUACAAGAUAUCAGAGAACUCUUAUCACACAUCCCCUGAUCUCUCUCUCUCUCUCAAUACGGAUACACACGCUGACUAACAACUGUUACACUAGCCUGUUCUUAAAGCUAACAGAGCAACCACCCAGGUAAACCCAGAUCGAACAGCCUGUUUACACGUAGCAUAACAAACUUAAUGAACUGAAUAAAGUUGCUUCACAUGGCUAUCACGUGCAUCACUUAAAAGCCUUCUCUUAAACGACACAAUUGAACUGCCGUUUCAAGCUCCAAACAUAAGUGACCACACACGUGCUUUUCCCGUGAGUUUUAAGUGCUCUUCUAUUUGUCAAAACGCCACCAUUUAGAGCUGAUGAGUUUGAUUCACCAGCAAACCUCACAGUUCAAUAGCACAAUAUUGCCAAAAACCAUAACUAAUUUCCAAAGUCUAUCAGAACAACAACUUGAGUAGUUGUUAAUAAGGCAAAUGGUCUAGAAUAAAAAGCAACCCCAGCAUUGUUCAAUCACCUCAUUUCUCAAACAACAAAAAUCAAUGAUCACUUGACAGACAGCCUUGUUCAACAAUGUUUUUUAUGUGUAACCAAAAAUUGAUUCAUCAUGUUCGAUCAAUAACUCUUAUCAAGAAAACUAUCCACUAUUAAAGAAAAUAUAUUAAUGCUUUGACUGGUGUUCUUUUUCUAAUGUGCAACUAACCUAAUGUUUUUCCUCAAUAUCAUUCAUUGGAGGAAAAUGCUUAAGUCCAAUAUGGAUAAUACAAGGGUCUACCUAUAGUCUCUUUCAGUCUAGGAGACCAUCUUGGAGACUUUAUUGGAGUCUUCUUUGAAGACUUUUUCACUUGUUCUACCUCAGUUUCAAUUGGAACUGGAGGAGUUGGCAUGCUGCCACCAUCAUUCUCCAUGAUCACCUUGCUCAAUGAUGUCAAUAACUCUUAUCAAGAAAACUGUCCACUAUUAAAGAAAAUAUAUUAAUGCUUUGACUGGUGUUCUUUCUCUAAUCUGCAGCUAACCUAAUGUUUUUCCUCAAUAUCAUUCAUUGGAGGAAAAUACUUAAGCCCAACAUGGAUAAUACAAGGGUCUACCUGUAGUCUCUUUCAGUCUAGGAGACCAUCUUAGAGACUUUAUUGGAGUCUUCUUUGAAGACUUUUUCACUUGUUCUACCUCAGUUUCAAUUGGAAUUGGAGGAGUUGGUAUGCUGCCACCAUCAUUCUCCAUGAUCACCUUGCUCAAUGAUGUCAAUUUUGGAGAUAGUUUAUUCAUAAAAUCCAUAACUCAUUCGACAAGUAAACAUGACACAUCAAUUAGUUAAAUAAAUUAAAUAUAAAUGAAAAAAUUGACAAAGAUAAUAACGUUUGUCUUUAGCUUUGAUUGAGCUUUCAAGUCAACAUUGCGACUAAUGGGCGAUUUGGUAUUGACUGCACUACAACUACCAACCUCUAUUUGACUAUAAACAUUUAGUUUUGCAUUCAUCAUAUCCAAUCAAGUCAUCAUCAUCCGAUACCUUUCCUCAAAAACCCUUGUUUCAAUGACCAUUCUUUCCAUAUCCAAGUUUAAAGCAGUUAGCACAUGAAAAUACAUAGUUGGGGUUAUUAACUACCCUAGACCUUGGACUCUACAACUGUUUUUCAAGAGUUGUAGUUAGAAUGUCAUUAACCCCAUGAUAGUGAAAGGAGUCUUGCUUUACUUGACUCUUUAAAUCCUCCUAUAAUGACAUGGAUAAAAAAUAUAACCUCAAUGACAUAUAAGGACUUGAAUUAAAAAAAAAAAUCAAACCAUUGCAAACCAAGUAAUAGAAAAGUAACACUUACGAUCUUUUUUACCACUUACUGUACAUCAGCUUCAUAUCCACCACUGCUAUCUUUCGAGCCAUUAGCCACAAUUAACUAUAGUCGAUCUCUUUAAUAGAAACUCCAAGCUCAUCUUUCCAUUUUAUGUUAACAAUAACAAAAUAUAUCUAAAGUUUCCUUAAGUAUGCAAAACCAAAAAUAGAAGUUUCUACACAUUUGAAGUGCAUAUAUUUAAAUUAAAAGAUGUUGUAAUAACAUACCUUUCGAUAUAGUAGGCCACAGUAUCCUGAACUACCUAAACGAUGGUUUUAUUUAAUCUUUGCACGUAAUUGCUUCUCUUUCUGGCUUUUUUCCUUAGAGCAAACAUUUGAAAUUAAUUAAUCAUUUUCAUUCACAAAAUAAGUGUAACAAAAUAACUAAUUACUGUUGCAAUAUGACCUACUUGAAAUUCAACCCCAAGCAUCCUAUUAACAAACUUUACACUCCGACUUUGUAAUUCUAGGAUACUCUCUAGGUGNNNNNNNNNNNNNNNNNNNNNNNNNNNNNNNNNNNNNNNNNNNNNNNNNNNNNNNNNNNNNNNNNNNNNNNNNNNNNNNNNNNNNNNNNNNNNNNNNNNNUAGGUGGCAACUUUAACUUAUUACGGUGAUCCUUGUUUAGUUGGAUAAAUUCAAUGUUUAAAGCCAAUCUAAAUUUCCUCAAAGAAGUUUCCAUUGACAUCAACACAUAAUUUGUGCUCCUCAUGUCCAAUACAAACUUAGUCUGCUCCACCAUAUGAAUAAGAAAUAAAAUAAAUUUAUUUUCAAAAACCAAACUAUAAAAUUACUAAAAUAA